rnacentral:misc_RNA from 1 species
UCAUGCUAUGCCUCUUCCCUCUCCUAGGUACUCUCUGAAAGCUUGUUCUUAAAAUAACCUGUUUAAGAACAGAAAAUAAUUUCUUUGCGGUUUUCUCAGAAACAGAUUUCAUUGUAGCAUGUAGAAAAACAAAUUCUCAAUAGACAAUAUGCCAAAACAAGAAAAUAUUCCAAGCAAUUUGUCAUGAGCACCCUGUGACUAUAAGUGACUACUGCACUUCAAGGAAGGUGACAAGGUGUAAAUUAACAUUUCAUCAUAACAGCCUUUAAGUCAUCAUCAAAACUGAUAUAUGUUAAAGAAGCACAACGCCUGGAUCCUAAAUGCAAAAAUUGCAUAAAAACCUCAACAUGUUAGAAUAGCUGACUUUUGUUUCACAUCAAAUAAAAAAGGAAAUUGAAAGCAAAAUAAAGCAGCAUAUGGUAAAAGAAGUUCUCGCCU